GCCAGUGUGGUGUAGUGGUCUGAACACUGGACUGACUCUGGGGACCUGGGUUUGAAUCCCUGCUCAGCCA